UACGUAGGGUCCGAGCGUUGUCCGGAAUUAUUGGGCGUAAAGGGCUCGUAGGCGGUUUGUCGCGUCGGGAGUGAAAACUCAGGGCUCAACCCUGAGCGUGCUUCCGAUACGGGCAGACUAGAGGUAUGCAGGGGAGAACGGAAUUCCUGGUGUAGCGGUGGAAUGCGCAGAUAUCAGGAGGAACACCGGUGGCGAAGGCGGUUCUCUGGGCAUUACCUGACGCUGAGGAGCGAAAGCCAUGGGGAGCGAACAGG
rnacentral:rRNA from 1 species